rnacentral:rRNA from 1 species
GACGAACGCUGGCGGCGUGCUUAACACAUGCAAGUGGAGCGACGAACCAGGCUUCGGCCUGGGGCAAAGCCGCGAACGGGUGAGUAACACGUGGGUAACCUGCCCCGAUGACCGGGACAACCCGAGGAAACUCGGGCUAAUACCGGAUGUGCUCGCAUCACAUCAGUGGUGUGAGCAAAGGUAGCUUCGGCCUCCGCAUCGGGAUGGGCCCGCGGCGCAUUAGCUUGUUGGNGGGGUAACGGCCUACCAAGGCGACGAUGCGUAGCUGGUCUGAGAGGACGAUCAGCCACACUGGGACUGAGACACGGCCCAGACUCCUACGGGAGGCAGCAGUGGGGAAUCUUGCGCAAUGCGCGAAAGCGUGACGCAGCAACGCCGCGUGGGGGAAGAAGGCCUCGGUUGUAA